UUUAAAAAUGUUCAGUUCUUAUAGUGCAUUUCAUUAUAAUAGUGGGUCUAUUAUAUACUUCAUUCUUAAUUUUUUGGCCAGAAUUUCAAGAACAAAAAUGCUAGGGGAAAUUACUCCAGAUUAUCUGGGUGGCCCCAGUGUAAUCAGGAGAGAGCCCUGCCUCUUAGUUGACACCUCGAUUUUGGACUUCCAGCCUCCAGAACUGUGAGAGAAUAAUACAUUUCCGUAGUUUUAAGCUAUUUGGACUCUGAUACUUUGUUACAGCAACCCUGGGAAACUAAUAUAAUCAGCCAUCUCCUUAAAUGCCAAGCAACAAGUGCCUUUAUUGAGAGACACCCUGUAGUCUCAGCUACUAGGGAGGCUGAAGUGGGAGGACUGCUUGAGCCCAAGAGUUUGAGGCUGCAGCGAGCUAUGCUUGCACCACUGUACUCCAGCCUGGGUGACAGAACGAGACCUUAUCUCUGUCUUAAAAAAAAAACUAUCUUGUUUUGUAAAAAUUAAGUCUCCAUAAGAAGCGAAUAUACUAUUGAUAACUCUUACAUAAUAUUGCUCUGGAACAUGACAUUUUCCUAUUAAAACCAUUUGUGACUAAUAGCACUACAGAGUUUCUAUCCUCUUUUCUUGAAUGCAUGUCAUGUUGUUUGUGGUUAAGCUUUUUUAUAUAAAGGCAUUGAUUUCAAAAAAUCAUGUAAUAUGGUGGUUGGAGAAUUACUAUAAUUUUUAUUUUGUAGGCCCCUACCCAAGACCCAAGCAGCAUGUUCAGAUAUUGUUUGGGUAAGAAAAAGAGACACUUAGAAAACCCCUCAACCUCAAAAUUAAUGCUUUGAUUGGAACAG
rnacentral:lncRNA from 10 species